rnacentral:rRNA from 1 species
CAGUAGGGAAUCUUCCACAAUGGGCGCAAGCCUGAUGGAGCAACACCGCGUGGGUGAAGAAGGGUUUCGGCUCGUAAAGCUCUGUUGUUAAAGAAGAACACGUAUGAGAGUAACUGUUCAUACGUUGACGGUAUUUAACCAGAAAGUCACGGCUAACUACGUGCCAG